UACGGGGGGGGCAAGCGUUGUUCGGAAUUACUGGGCGUAAAGGGCGCGUAGGCGGUCCGCUAAGUUGGAUGUGAAAACUCUGGGCUUAACCCAGAGCCUGCAUCCAAAACUGGCAGGCUUGAGUUUUGGAGGGGGAAGCGGAAUUCCUGGUGUAGCAGUGAAAUGCGCUAGAUAUCAGGAGGAACACCGGUGGCGAAGGCGGUCUCCUGGGCAAAACACGACGCGUGAGGCGACGAAAGCGUGGGGAGCAACAGG
rnacentral:rRNA from 1 species